UAAGAUUAAAAUUAUUUGUUUUUUUAUUUUCUAAGUGCUUUAAAUUUUGUAUCUAAACCUUUAAGUUUGCAAACCCUAAUUAACCUAAAACCCUACCACCUUUUCUCUCUCCACUAUCACACAUCCAUUAACCCUCAAACCAUCACCCUUAAACUUCCAAAAGCUACCACACAACACCCUUAAGUCGUUCAAAACCACAACCUUUACUUCCCUAAACCACCAAUUGUCGCACCUUGAACCCAAAAUUUCUACACCUCCAACAUACCUUAAAACUGCAACCUCAACUCCCUUGAACCACCUUGAACACUUUCCUUCAAAACCACCCACCGCCACACCUCAACCAUUAUCUAAGUCUAGUACCACACCUUUCAAAAUCGCCACCCAAGCCAACGUUGAUAACCCUACACCACUAGCUUCG
rnacentral:lncRNA from 1 species